rnacentral:rRNA from 1 species
UACGGGGGGAGCAAGCGUUGUUCGGAAUCACUGGGCUUAAAGGGCGCGUAGGCGGGUUCGCAAGUCUGUGGUGAAAGCCUCCAGCUUAACUGGAGAAGUGCCGUGGAUACUGCGAAUCUUGAGGAGGGUAGGGGCGUCUGGAACGGUCGGUGGAGCGGUGAAAUGCGUUGAUAUCGACCGGAACUCCGGUGGCGAAGGCGAGGCGCUGGACCCUUUCUGACGCUGAGGCGCGAAAGCCAGGGGAGCAAACGGG